CCCCCGACGCCCCCAUGCCCUCCGCCCCAAAUCAUGGCCAUCCCCGCCGAGCCCCCACCCCGGCCGCCUGCGCCUAGCCCUGCACGCCGCCCGCCUCCCCCACCCCACGGCCAUGAUCGAGCGCCCCUCCUCCCUGGCGGCUCGCCUCCCCAUGGAUCUCGCUACGCCUGUCCUUGCCCCGGUGGGCACCCGUGCGCGGCUCAGCACGUGGCAGCGACGGCAGUGGGGUCGCCGCCGUUCAGCUGCGGCGCGGGGCCGGUCGGUGGCAGCGGAGGAGGCCGCCGCGCCCAUGGCGGCAGCGGGAAGAGGAGCAGCUCGGGCCGGCCGCACCUCUCCCUUCCCAAUCCCCCCACCGCCGGCGUAGUGGUGCAAGGGCUCGGCGUCCACGUACCUCACUGCCGGCGAGAUCUCCGGCCUCGUCGCGCUUGUCCUCGAGCUCGUGGCUGCCGGCUCUUCACCCGGGCUCCUGCGGCCCCGCUCCUCCCUCCUCUGCAAGGCGGCGGCGGGGCGUCGUGCACUUCUACAACUCUGAUGACUUCCCUGUUGCGUGGCGCCUCCGCAUCUUCCUCCUCUACAAGGCGGCGACGCCCCUCCACUUCACGCCCUCCAAGGUGGCCCAGCUCGGCCGCCGAUCCGGAGGUCUGCAAGACCCCGUCCUCGCCGCCUGCCAUUCAACUUCUACUGCCGUGCUACAAUGAUGGAGGGACAUCGAGCAGGUCACCUCAAGUGCCAGGUCUUGACCAAUUUGUUCCAUCUACAGUACGGUUAAGAUAAGCUAUUUAGCCGACACACAAUGGCUUUUAUUCAAUCAGUCAUAUGAAUCUUCCUUUACUCAUAAUGCUGGUGAUUUCGGAUCUAUACUUCGGUUGGCUGAUUAUUUCUUUGCAGGAUAAACUACUUUGGAUGUCUAAAUCGAUUGUGAUGUUUAGCUCACUGUUAUUGCGUCUCCCGAUAGAUUGCGCUUACUUGCAGGAGCCAGAUGUGACAUAUGUGAUGAAGAGCUUUUGCUUUCUUGUCCUCUCAUAGUCACUGAGUCACAGGUCAGGUUUUUUCAGAAGAGGUGUGUUAUCUUGUUGGAUGGGAUUUCUUCUUCCGAAGAGAAAAGAUGAAACUAAAAAGGUACGCUAGACGUACAAUGUGUGGACGUGGAGCACGUGCUGACGAAACCGAACCACAAGACGGUGUUGGGUGGACGCAUCCUGAAGAGAGAAGGACCUGCUAGAGCAACCAAAGACCCGGCUCAAAGUCAGAAGGGCCCAAGGCCUUGUUAGUACUAACACUGACUUAGUGUUAUCCCAGGCAAGCCCCGGAGCAUAACCCUUAAUUUUAGUAUUUAAUGUUUACUAUAUAAUUAUUGUGCAUUUACGUUUCUAGGAGUUGAUUGGAACCUUAGAUGCAUAAUCCCUAAGCUUCCUCAGUUACUCUACUAGUGCGCAGGUCGUUAGUACUGCAAUGCUUAAAUAGGUUUCGGUAGAAGUCGAGUGAUUCCUGUCACUCGCGAGUUAUAGGAUCUUGUUACUUAUGGCAAAGUUGUUGGAGAAAGAAUUGAUGAGGAAAGAGAAAUGGAGACCGGGCGGAGAUGAAUAUGAUUAUGGAUAUGAAAUGGAUGAAGAGUAAGCCUUCGCCUGUGUCGAUUAAGGCCCGUACCGUUGUCUGGCCCUGCUGAUCGAGUUCGAACAGUACUAACCACAUGCCGGGAGUAGGAGGUAGUCGAAACCGGUAAGCUCAGUACCAUAUGCGCACCGGUAGG